AUUAGUGAUUUGGGGACACAGGUUUUAGAAUCUCUAGAAUGAAUACUCUAUUUCUUAAGUAGAAUGAGAAAACUAUUGGUCUGCAACCAGAUAUAACUCAUUUCUUCCACUUUUCUCUAUUUCCAUUAUUCCAUCUUUAUAUUCCAAAUCACCAUUAUUCUUGUCUUCCUAUAAUCAAUUUUCCACCCUACUUAAGACAUCCAAUGCCUUCCUGAUGCUCUUAGAAAAGAAUCCAAAUGCCUGUCCAUGAGCUUUUAUUUUCUUCAAAGAACUUAUGUCUAGCUGUAAUUAUUUAUCUCCUCGCCUGUUUAUUUUCAAUCUCCCCUCCUGCCACUGUUCCUGCAGAUUUAAGCUCCAUGGGAGCAGGAAUCUUGUUUCCUCAUUGAACAUUAUGUUCUCAGCUCCUGGAAAAAUGCCUGUUACAGGGCAGAAGCUUUCAAAAGCCUUCAAGGCCAUCUUCAGGCAGGAUGUAAAGAGAGCACUCACUCUGCAGAAGUCGUUAAGAGCCCAUGUGGUAGAAAAAUGAAGCCUCCUUCCAACAGCCAUGCAAGUGAGCUUUGAGGUAAAUCAUUCAGCUCCUAUCAAGUCUUUGGAUUGCCAUCCUGGCUGAGAACUUGACUGCAACUUCGUGAGCCAGAGCUGCCUAGCUAAACUACUCUUGAAUCUGUGAUCCUCAGAAACUGAGUGAGAAAAUGAGUAUUUGCUGGCUUAAGCUUUAAGUUUUGGAGUAAUUUGUUAUGAACAAUAGCCAACUGAUACAAUAUGUAUGUCUGUAUUAUUUUGUUGUUUUGUGAGUGUAAUUCACAUAAGAUAAAACACACAGAUCUGGAGUGUUGGGUUCUGUGAGCUUUGAUCAUUUUAUACAGAUGUGUAACCACUACUCAAAAAAGAUAUACAAUAUUUCCAUCACCCAGAAAAGUCUGUUGUCUCCUUUUCCGACUAAUUCCUACUCUUCUAUCAGAAAAAAACCCACCAUUUUGGUUUCUAACAUGUAGUUUAGUUUAGCCUAUUUUUGAACUUCACAUAAAUGGAUCAUCCAGUAUGCACUGUUUCGUGUCCAGCUCACCAUAAUGUUUUUGAGAUUUAACUGAGUUGUUGUAUAUAGCAGCAAUUUUAUCCUUUUAAUUUUAUUGUUGAUUGGUAUCCUAUUUUAUGAAUAUACCACGAUGUGUUGAUUCAUACUCCUGUUGAUAGGCAUUUGGGUUGUUUCUGGUUUUUUAUUUAUUAUGAACAAGGCUGUGAUCAUUGUAUAAAUCUUUUUGUGGACGUAAGUUCUCAGCACUCAGGUAAAUACCUAGGAUCAGAAAUGCUGGAUAAUAUCAUAAAUGCACAUCUAACAUUAUAAGAAACUGACAAAGAUUUCUUGAAAGAGUUUUUUCAUUUUACACCCCCACCAGCAAUGUAUGGGAGUUCCAGUUACCUGACAUUCUUUGUAACAUUUGUCCUCAUCAGUCUUUUGAUUUUAGUCAUUUGCUGGGAGUGAAAUGGCAUGUCAUUGUGGGUUGGGUUUUUCUGAUGAGCCAUGAUGCUGAGCAUCAUUACUGGCCACUGACAUAUCUCCUUCUGUGAAGUCUCUGUUCAAGUUUCAUCAUGGGUGCCACCUGGAACCUUUGUUGACUGGAUGUUUCCUAAAAUCGCUGCUUGUUAAAGCACAUCCGUAUCAGCUUCUCCCUUGCCCACACCAGCCUUUUCCCAGCACCCUUCUCUUCUAACAGUCUUGCCUCCCUCCCUGACUGUCCCUGUCUCCACCCUCGAUUUUGUUCUAGACUCAACAAAUUUUUCCUGGAAAGCUUCUGCCCCAGUAAUAACCUGUUAAAAAUCUACCCCAGUUCUGGCAGGAUCUCUGCUCACUGCAAUCUCCACCUCCUGGGCUCAAACAAUUAACAUGCUUCAGCCUCCCAAGUAGCUGAGAUUACAGGUGUGUGCCACCAUGCCCAGCUAAUUUUCUUGUACUUUUAGUAGAGACAGAGUUUAGCCAUGUUGGCCAAUUCUAGAAUUGGGCUCAAUGUGGGAAAAUUAAAAAGAGAAGGGCAUUGGUAGGCUGGUAAAUAUUUAACAGCUGGCUCUCUGGGGAAAAAAAAAGUAAUUAAUUAAAAAGAAAUUUUUGCUUGUGGGAAUAUGUUUAUCAGAACUACAUUUGUAUUUUUUUUAAUUCUUAAAUUUUUUUUCUACAUAUAUGGCUAGCAUAUAGGUAUAUAAUUAGUUUCUUAAUUGAUGUUUUCAUAAUUUUAAAAUUUUUAUUGAUCUUAGUUGAUUUUUAAUUGGCUAAAUUUUGUUAGACUUAC
rnacentral:lncRNA from 1 species